rfam:Gossypium arboreum cultivar AKA8401 contig_1347_5, whole genome shotgun sequence.
UAUUAUGAAUUUCAUUUAUUUCUAUUGUUAAAAACUGACGUGACUGACAGAAUAACCAGACAAUUACACAUGGUGUGCUACGUGUACCUCAUACUGGUGUAGAGGGAUUAGUUUUUAAUAGCAAAAAUGGAUGGAAUUUUUAACA